GUUCGUAGGUGGUUACUUAAGUCUGGUGUUAAAGCCCGAAGCUCAACUUCGGCAUGGCAUUGGAAACUGGGUGACUAGAGUACGGUAGAGGUAUCGGGAAUUCCUGGUGUAGCGGUGAAAUGCGUAGAUAUCAGGAGGAACACCGGUGGCGAAAGCGCGAUACUGGGCCGUAACUGACGCUGAGGAACGAAAGCCAGGGGAGCGAAAGGGAUUAGAUACCCCUGUAGUCCUGGCCGUAAACGAUGGAUACUAGGUGUUGGAGGAUUCGACCCCUUCAGUGCCGUAGCUAACGCGAUAAGUAUCCCGCCUGGGGAGUACGACCGCAAGGUUGAAACUCAAAGGAAUUGACGGGGGCCCGCACAAGCGGUGGAACAUGUGGUUUAAUUCGAUGCAACGCGAAGAACCUUACCUGGGCUUGACAUCUUUGGAACCUUGCGGAAACGUGAGGGUGCCUUCGGGAGCCAAAAGACAGGUGGUGCACGGUUGUCGUCAGCUCGUGUCGUGAGAUGUUGGGUUAAGUCCCGCAACGAGCGCAACCCUCGUGGUCUGUU
rnacentral:rRNA from 1 species